UGCAGCUAGCGCUCACACGAAAUGCAGCCGCGCGCCUGUUGCUCAGUCUUUAGCUGGAUCGCCGCUGAACGUGAACUACCUCGUGUGUCUACCGGGCAGAUGGAUGUGUCUACCGUGCAGAGAGAUGUGUCUACCGUGCAGAGAGAUGUGCAGCCUUCGUGGUGCUCAAGCCGUCCUGAUGGCUCAGUCGUUGUGGACUUUUAACUCAGUGUCUUGAAAUGGUUCAGUCGUUGUGGACCUUUAACUCAGUGCCUUGAAAUGGCUCAGUCGUUGUGGACCUGUAACUCAGUGUCUUGAACCGAUCACUCCGAUCACCUCUCCGUGGCCUGACGUGCGCAUCCCAUCCGUCGAAAUGAAGGAGGGCCCACGGAGACCGAAGGGCUGUGAUUGGUCCAACCCACGGGGACCGAAGGGCUGUGAUUGGUCCAACCCACGGGGACCGAAGGGCUGUGAUUGGUCCAACCCACGGGGACCGAAGGGC